GAUGAACGCUAGCUACAGGCUUAACACAUGCAAGUCGAGGGGCAGCAGGGAUUUAGCUUGCUAAAUCCGCUGGCGACCGGCGCACGGGUGCGUAACGCGUAUCCAACUUUCCCGUUACUCUCGGAUAGCCUUCCGAAAGGGAGAUUAAUACGAGAUGGUGUUCUAAUUUCGCAUGUUAUUAGAACUAAAGAUUCAUCGGUAACGGAUAGGGAUGCGUGACAUUAGAUAGUUGGCGGGGUAACGGCCCACCAAGUCUACGAUGUCUAGGGGUUCUGAGAGGAAGGUCCCCCACACUGGAACUGAGACGCGGUCCAGACUCCUACGGGAGGCAGCAGUGAGGAAUAUUGGUCGAUGGCCGAGAGGCUGAACCAGCCAAGUAGCGUGAAGGAUGAAGGUUCUAUGGAUUGUAAACUUCUUUUAUACGGGAAUAACAUCACCUACGUGUAGGUGCCUGCAUGUACCGUAUGAAUAAGCAUCGGCUAACUCCGUGCCAGCAGCCGCCGUAACAC
rnacentral:rRNA from 1 species